rnacentral:rRNA from 1 species
GACAGAGGAGCCAAGCGUUGUCCGGAUUGACUGGGCGUAAAGCGCACGCAGGCGGGUGCGCGCGUGGGGGGUGAAAGCUGGUGGCUUAACUGCCAGAUGCCAUCCCAUACGGCGCGACUCGAGCCCGUGAGAGGUCCACGGAAUUGCCGGUGUAGUGGUGAAAUGCGUAGAGAUCGGCAGGAACACCCAGGGGGAAACCAGUGGACUGGCACGGUGCUGACGCUCAGGUGCGAAAGCGUGGGAGCGAACCGG